rfam:Perkinsus marinus ATCC 50983 gcontig_1104296771756, whole genome shotgun sequence.
GCUGGAAUGGUCUAGUCGGUUAUGACGACUGCCUCACACGCAGUAGGUCCCGAGUUCGAUUCUCGGUUCCAGUA